rnacentral:rRNA from 1 species
GUGGGGAAUUUUGGACAAUGGGGGCAACCCUGAUCCAGCCAUGCCGCGUGUGUGAAGAAGGCCUUCGGGUUGUAAAGCACUUUCGGCCGGAACGAAAUCGCACUGGUGAAUAUCCAGUGUGGAUGACGGUACCGGAAGAAGAAGCACCGGCUAACUACGUGCCAGCAGCCGCGGUAAUACGUAGGGUGCGAGCGUUAAUCGGAAUUACUGGGCGUAAAGUGUGCGCAGGCGGUCUUGCAAGUCAAGUGUGAAAGCCCCGGGCUUAACCUGGGAACUGCGCUUGAAACUACGAGACUCGAGUGUGGCAGAGGAAGGUGGAAUUCCACGUGUAGCGGUGAAAUGCGUAGAGAUGUGGAGGAACACCGAUGGCGAAGGCAGCCUUCUGGGCCAACACUGACGCUCAUGCACGAAAGCGUGGGGAGCAAACAGGAUUAGAAACCCUAGUAGUCC